AUGGUGGCCGUCCUGGAUGCUUUCGCGGCCAAGCUGGCUAUCAUCCUAGCAGGUAUGGCAAAGACUGAGUUAGAGAUGCUCCUGGGCGUACCUGGCGAGAUCACCAAGCUCGAGGCUACGCUCGGUGAUCUCAGCCGCAUCAUGGCCGACGCUGAAAGGAGGCGCAUCCACAACCCUGACUCGGGUGCAGAGGAGUGGGUCGGGGAGCUCAAGGAUGUCAUGUACGACGCCGACAACAUACUUGACCUCUGCCAGAUCAUGGAGGGAGAGGAUGCAUCCAAAGCUCCUUCUGGAUGCUGGAACAUCCCAAUGUUGUUAUGCUUCCACAACCCCGUCGCUGCACACAAGAUUGGGAAGAAAAUCCAAGCGCUCAACCAACGGUUGCUGGACAUUGAGAAGAGGAGCACUCGCUAUGAAUUCAUCUCCCAAGCAAUCAACUCUUCGGCAAGCAACUCUAUUGAUAGAGUUGACAGUUCUUUUAUCAAAAGCAACCGCACAACUGGAUCGGGCAUCAUCCUAUCUGAUGUUGUUGGAGAGAAGAUCAAGGAAGAUACAAGAAAGCUUGUUGAUAUUCUAGUCAACAAGGAAGAGAUUCGUGCUGGAUCAAGCAGUGACAGGUUUCCUGUUGUUGCUAUCACUGGUGCUGGUGGGAUAGGCAAAACUACCCUUGCUAGGAUGGUUUUCAAUGACACUAUGGUGAAGGAUCACUUCCAUAAGAGGAUUUGGCUGAGUGUGAAUAACAAUAAAGAGGUCAACGAGAUGACAGUCCUAAGAACCGUCUUAUAUGCUGUUGGAGGUAACCAAAGUGACCUUCCUGACAACAAGGCCCAGCUGGAGAGUGCUUUGAAUCUAGCAGUGAAGCAAAAGAAAUUAUUGUUGGUGAUGGAUGAUGUGUGGAGCCCUAAGGUGUGGAAUGAGCUACUUAGAGUCCCGCUCAAUGAUGGUGCUUCGGGGAGCUGGGUAUUGGUGACCACAAGAAAUAUUGAAGUUGCUAAUAUGAUGAAAGCACAUCACCUCCACCGAGUUGACAAGCUAGUGGGAGAAGACGUUUGGAACCUGCUUAAGAAACAGGUCAGCAUCAAGAACCUUAACCUUUCAAGCAUAUUGCAAGUUAGGAGAGGCAAACAAAGUUUAGAGUAA
rnacentral:rRNA from 1 species